AGAAAGGAGUCAAACAUCAGCCCCAAGGUCACCUCUCGUGGUUUCCUGUGGUGUCAACCCUCCACCAGAACUUCUGGAAUCAAUAUUAAAAGGAAGGGAAAUUGGGAGCAGCACAAUAACUGCACUCCAGUUACUUCAUUCACCUUGCUCUGCUUGUUCAGUCUUCAAAGGUUGCUGCAUGGUUGUAGAAACCAGAGCAGUUUCCACCAGAGCUGACCUCCAGAGCUGUCCAGUGACCUUCCAGGCACAUCCCUCUUGCUUUCAGGAUCAGGGACACACCACCGUGUUCUUGACCAUCACCUCAUACUCCAAUCAAGA